rnacentral:rRNA from 1 species
AUUGAACGCUGGCGGCAUGCUUUACAUAUGCAAGUCGAACGGCAGCGCGGGCUUCGGCCUGGCGGCGAGUGGCGAACGGGUGAGUAAUGCAUCGGAAUGUGCCCAGUAGUGGGGGAUAGCCCGGCGAAAGCCGGAUUAAUACCGCAUACGACCUGAGGGUGAAAGCGGGGGACCGAAAGGCCUCGCGCUAUUGGAGCGGCCGAUGUCGGAUUAGCUAGUUGGUGGGGUAAAGGCUUACCAAGGCGACGAUCCGUAGCUGGUCUGAGAGGACGACCAGCCACACUGGGACUGAGACACGGCCCAGACUCCUACGGGAGGCAGCAGUGGGGAAUUUUGGACAAUGGGGGCAACCCUGAUCCAGCCAUGCCGCGUGCGGGAAGAAGGCCUUCGGGUUGUAAACCGCUUUUGUUCGGGAAGAAAUCCUCUGGGCUAAUACCCCGGGGGGAUGACGGUACCGGAAGAAUAAGCACCGGCUAACUACGUG